GUGCUCCCCCAGCACGUGUACUAAAACUGGAAGAAUUACAGGGACAUUAGUAUGGCCCUUGAACAUGGAUGACAUGCAAAUUUGUGAAGUGCUCCAUAUUUUA
ensembl:snRNA U6 U6 spliceosomal RNA